rnacentral:RNase_P_RNA from 1 species
GGUAGGCCAGACGGUCGCGUGCAAUUAUUGCAUGAGGAAAGUCCGGGCUCCACAGGGCAAGGAUGCCGGAUAACGUCCGGCGUGGGUAACCAUAGGGAAAGUGCAACAGAAACAUACCGCCGAAACAGGUUAUGCUGUGGUAAGGUUGAAAUGGUGAGGUAAGAGCUCACCGGCGUCAUGGAGACAUGACGGCCGUGUAAACCCCAUCCGGUGCAAGGUCGAAAGGGCAUUUAUGGCAGUUGCCCGCUGCCGCCCUACAGGUGUACCGCUUGAGCCUGUUAGCAAUAUCAGGUCUAGAUAGAUGAUCGUCUAAUACAGAACCCGGCUUACAGACCUACCCCU